rnacentral:rRNA from 1 species
CCUGUUUAAACAAAAACAUCUCUUCUUGUGAAUUUUUGAAGUAUGGUCUGCCCACUGAUAAUUAAUUGAAGGGCCGCGGUAUUUUGACCGUGCAAAGGUAGCAUAAUCAUUAGUCUUUUAAUUGUGGACUGGUAUGAAUGGCUUGACGAGAUACUAACUGUCUUUUUAGGAUUUUAUUAUUGAAUUUGGUUUUUGGGUAAAAAUACCUAAAUUUUGUUAUGGGACGAGAAGACCCUAUAGAGUUUUAUGUAGCUUUCUUUCUUUAGUUUGAUUUAUUUUGUUGAGUUUAUGUUGCAUUUUGUUGGGGUGAUGGGAGAUUAAGUUAAACUUCUCUUUUUAGUAGUUCACUUGUUUGUGUUUUUAUGAU